UCCUUGGCCGUCUCCCUGCCGCUGACAAACUGGAACUCGUUCGGGGUGAGCCACUCGCCCCGGUACCGGAUAGAGGGUCCCUUGCUCCCCUGGCACAACUUAUUGAUGUAGAGCAGCGCCUUGUUCUCCCCGCACUCCACCUCGAUGCAAGGCUCGCCGUUGUCAAAGAAGGGCUGGAAAUCCGGGAUGGAGGAAAACCUCUCCAGCAUCAGUGAUUGCUGUUCUUCUGCCACCUCCAUCCGCAAUAGCAACUUCACCUCCAAGUGCAGACAGCUUGGCCAUCUUCCAAGAAUUGGCCUGACAUGAUCACACCCGUGAUGGAAAGCGACAGCUCUGACCCUACCAAGUCACCCUAAGCUGACCAAAAGACAAGACAGGAGACCAAGCAGCCACACCACCACUUCCCGAGCCAGCCAAAUUCAUGCUUUCUCCAGUCCCUUUUAGAGCCUCGGAGGACAUCAAGGCUGUCUAACAGACAGGAUUCACGGCUUUUUGUCUUUUAUUCCUUGCCAGGUGUGGCCCGGCUCUGUGCUCGCUGCAGCACGUGAGCAGCCCAGCCACGCUGCCAGAGUCACACUCAGCAGGAUCAGUACUGGAGGUAAUACUAGCCUCAGGCCAGACUGCUUCAUUACGAGAGACAUUUUGACAGCCCAGCAGCAAGAGCAGCAGCAGACAGGGCACACAAGGGUCUUCAGGGGCGGAGGGUUGGCAAGGAGGACACUGGAAAGGGGUUUGCUUCUCAAAAAGGGCUUCCUCGGGAACUGCUGGGCUGUACACUUUUUAAUCCCAUUGAUACAGAAGACUGCCACUUACACUGAAUUAUUGGGGUGAAAAAGGAGCCCCCUAGAACUCACUAAGAGGUAUUUUGUUUCUUUGUUGGAAGUAGCGUUAGGGUAGUAUGAGGUUACACAACAAACCAGAGCUGUCAAUUGUGUACAUCCCUACCUCCUGCAGGCAUUUUGUCUGCUUCCAAGAGAACGGCCCGGGACAGUCAGUGUGGGUUAAAAAACUCUUCUCAUCCAAGUAUUUUCAGGAAAUACCUCUUCCAAAAUCACCUUCCAAAUCACCUUCCCUACAAGUACCCUAUAUAGCAGAGCACCAGUGAGACCGAUCUACGUAGUUCAAUACAGAGGAUACGGCACCGGAAAACCUAACAGGAUAAAAGUACUGAUUCAUCUCCCUUCCUCAGUGGUUGGAGUUCAGGUAUGCUGUGGAAAUUCGGAUCAGAAUCAGCUUUGAGAUCUCUGCAACAAGAAGUUUCAAUUAAAAGGGCAGAUUCCUAUUUCCAUUAAAACCAAUGGAAAAUUUUUUUUACUGACUUCACACUUCAUUGUUCAAGGCCCACAGGAGAUUGCCCUUCCCUACAAAGGUUUUGGAAAACAACAAAUUUAGCUACACUCAACUGGUGCCUGUGUGAUGUAAAAAGAGCGCUUACAGAAAUCACCAGUGGAAUAUGGCUUUAAGUAUCAAAGCUGCUGUUAUAUUAACAAUUCUCUCUGACCCUCUACUUUUAAGGCAAGUGCCUUCUUAUUUGCAGUUCCAGCCGUUGGACAGCCUCCCCGUGUUUCUCUCUGUAUUAACUAUACUUUUUUUUUUUUUUGCCCAUAUUGCAAUUAAAAACGCAUCUUUCUCUCUCGCCUAUUCCUCUCUCCUGGGGUGUUAUUUACUGCUAAUUUGUAGCUAUUGUGAAAGACUUGAGAUAUCAAAGCUGUAAUGCAGAAGAAAGCCAUCACCAGAUUCUCUUUUUCCUUAAAGUUUGUUUUUAGUUUUUUUUUUUUUCCUACUCUAAUCUGCUCCAUUGCUAAGAAAAACUCACUGUAUCAAAAGAUGGUGAAAUGAUGGUCAUGAUGUAUUAAUCUAAAGCUUGGCUGUGUCCCAGCACUUGUAGAUCACUCUGCGCUACUCCACUCUCCAAAUUCCUGCCUUCCUUCCCGCCUACAAUCAUAGUAACAAAAAGAAACACUGAAAAACUGGCUAUCCAAGAAGCCGGGCACGGCUGGAAUCUAUUGCUGGGUUAAAACAAUAAAAAAUCAGUGGCCACCAAGAAGAAGAUAACAUUUGGCGGGCCACCCCAGCAUCAAACAGUGCUAUAAAAGAAGCAGCCAUGGGCCUGUCCCCUCAUUCACAAGGGUAUACAAACACGUGUGCACAAAGCACAGUUGUUUAGACUGGGCGGAUGAACUUUGUUAGCUAAUCCUUUGGAAGUGAAGUGUCACAAGAGUCUAGUGUAAUCAAGGUGUAACUACUUUUAAUGCAUGCUAGAGAGGUCAAAUUAAAGGCUAGGUAGAACCUGCCUUAACCAAUUUAGGAGGUGCUGAAGUACACACUACCUGAGCUGGCUUACAGCUUUCACAUUAAUUAGGGCUAACAUGUUCGAAAGCCUUUAAAUCACUGGGCAUCUCUGCAGACAGGUUUUGUAUUGUUCUAAUUCUCCUCCUUUCUAGAAAUCGGUGUUGUGUAGUCAAUGCCCUAGUAAUUAUGGGAUUAGCAUACAUCACCUCUCCGCUAACACAGCCGCACCCCACCAGACAGCUGUGCAACUUCCACCGGGAACAUUUCUGAACAAUUAUUGUUACAGCACUGUAAAACUUUACGUACGCAUAGGCCCUAGUCUGGGUGAUGUCUAUAUUGCAGUUCCAGAUAUGACUGCAACCAUCCAUCUGCUGUAGCUAAACGUUAAUGAAUUAACAGGGGUAUUCCAAGCAGACAUCCCAGAGGAGGUGCACCAACGUGGACUGAUGCUUCUCCGGGAAAUUCUCACCAAAGUCUGUGCCGCUGUGCUUUCUCCAAAAUUAUAACCAGAACAAUCCAGCUCAGUACAGGAAGGCAGUCAGGACUUCGUCGUCGCUGCGACCAAAGCUCUUAUGUGGUCAUGCACGAGCACGCUGUAUUUGAAUAAAAGAUAUGCAAAGGCAUUCGUAUGAACAGUCGCAGACAUAAGCAGAGUCUCCAGCAAACUCACGGAGUCAAAUGCACAUAAACAACUCCGCGCUCGCUCCUCACUCACUACUCCCUUCGCCUCCAUCAUUAUGAAUAAAGGCUGGGUCAGGACCAC